rnacentral:rRNA from 1 species
GGAAUAUUGCACAAUGGGGGAAACCCUGAUGCAGCGACGCCGCGUGAGUGAAGAAGUAUUUCGGUAUGUAAAGCUCUAUCAGCAGGAAAGAAAAUGACGGUACCUGACUAAGAAGCCCCGGCUAACUACGUGCCAGCAGCCGCGGUAAUACGUAGGGGGCAAGCGUUAUCCGGAUUUACUGGGUGUAAAGGGAGCGUAGACGGUGAAGCAAGUCUGAAGUGAAAGGCGGGGGCUCAACCCCCGGACUGCUUUGGAAACUGUUUGACUGGAGUGCAGGAGAGGUAAGUGGAAUUCCUGGUGUAGCGGUGAAAUGCGUAGAUAUCAGGAGGAACACCGGCGGCGAAGGCGGCCUGCUGGACUGCGACUGACGUUGAGGCUCGAAAGCGUGGGGAGCGAAC